rnacentral:rRNA from 1 species
UGGGUUUACUUUGUGCAGAAUAGGUGGGAGGCUAAGAUAAUAUAUUUGAGGAUAUAUAGGAGCCGUCAGUGAGAUACCACUCUAAGUACACUAGGCUUCUAACCUUGAAAGCCGUUAACCGGCCAAGGAACAGUUUCAGGCGGGCAGUUUGACUGGGGCGGUCGCCUCCUAAAAGGUAACGGAGGCGUACAAAGGUUUUCUCAAGCUGGUCAGAAAUCAGUUUUAGAGUAUAAAGGCAAAAGAAAGCUUGACUGCAAGACCUACAAGUCGAGCAGAGACGAAAGUCGGUCUUAGUGAUCCGACAGUUCUGAGUGGAAA